rnacentral:lncRNA from 1 species
UAAUGUCAAUAUUGAGAUAUAGCAAAAAUUUUAUACGAAAUAACAAACCAAUUUGUCAUUACAAAUACAAAACGAGCAACAAUAUAUUACAACCAAUACUAUCAACAGUACAAAGCACAAAGAUACUCAAAUCAAAUCCUAAUUAGGCUUUAAUAUGUACAACCAAAAUUGCCAGGGAUAACAAAUGCUAAGAUAGACGAUGUCCGAUAUACAAUGAGUAUCAUGUUUGCAUUAAUUGGCGAAGUCCAUAAUCGAAGUAGCUUGUAAGAGCUUCAUAGCCAGGUUUACUACAAUCCACCAUCAACCUACAGAGUCCAAUGGAAAAAAAAUUAUUAAACAGAAAUUUACAUUGGUAGUUAGAUAAAUUAAACCUGCAUUAGCCUACAUAUAUCAACUAAGACAUUGAUCCUCAUAUUGUUGCAUGAAAAGAAAUGAAAAUGAGGGACUUUAAAAGAAAUGCUAAGGAUCACUUUUAUUAACCACAAGUACAAAAUGUGAACUGAAUUUCAAACUACAAGUUGGUAGCAUGUACUUAAGAUGAAGAAAUCAUUAUGACCCCAAUUGACAUGAAACCAAUCGUAAAGUAACGCCAAGGCUGUUUCCUUCAACACAAAAAUAGUAAAUGCAUUCACUCAUUCAAAAUUGAGAAGUAGCUAAACAAGCGUAACUUUCGGACUUGGAAAGCAUGAAAUGAACUUGGAAAAAGGAAUUAGAUUUUACUACCAACAAGGCUUCCAAGGUGCAAAUAGCCAAUGAGAUCCUUUUUUUUAAUCCUUAUUAUUUUUGUCCAGUAUGUUCACUUAAAAGAAAACUAUAUUCUAUUUACUAGAUCUUUAGUUAAGAAAUAAACAAAAAAUUAAAUCAUCAAAAAGCAAAAAGACCAAAGGCAUUAAAACUUGCACAAACAUUCAGGAGGAGGAGAAGUUAUCACCUAAGAGAAUCACAUGCAACGCAAUGAAAGCAUUAGAAUUAACCCAAAGGAAGGGAAAAAAUAUGCUUCAUGAAUGGUCCUACAACACCGAAACACAAAACAAUAGAUAAUGAUGAACCACCACAAACCAGUCCAAAGACAAGCAAAAUCACCUACACCAUCAAUCCUAAUCACCAACCGGAGUAGAAAAUCAUCCAAAAUUUCAGUAAGUCACCGAAUAAAUAAGGCUUAAAUCUUAGAACAUGUCAUAAUCAGUGUUUAGCAUUCAAAAAUUGUGUAAUACAGGGGGUUUGGGACAACAAAAGGGGACAAUUAGGGCUGGGCAACGAGAGGUACGGAGGAAUGGAAACGAGAGUGGUAAAGAGAGGAGAUUGAACAAUACGACAAAGCAGGGGAAAAAUCAAAUCGUGGAAGGAAGAAUUCUAGUAUGAAAAUAUGUUGGAGACUACCUGAAAUCUUAGAUCUGAAAUUUUGACGGGCCGUUUUCAUUUUGCCUUCCAGUAAGACCCCUUUCUCUACUCCAACUGAGAUGCCCAUUCACUCUAAUCCACUGAAGUAGAAGCCUACAAUUUCAAAAAGUUUAU